rnacentral:rRNA from 1 species
AAACGUUUGAAGUCAGACGUGCGUUGUGCGAUUCAGCUCCGGUUCGCCGGAGUGUAUUUCGUACUAUUGCAGGCCAGCAUCGGUUUGGCGAGCCGGAUAAAGGUUAGAGAAAGGUAGCGGUCCAGGCCGUGUUAUAGUCUCUAACUGAAUACGGAUUGCUAGACCGAGGGACGCAGCGCGCCGCAAGGCAAAGCUUUCGGGCUUUUCGCGCUUAGGAUGCUGGUGAAAUGGCUUUAAA